CACGCCCUAAACGAUGUCAACUAGGUGUUGGGGGAGGAGACUUCCUUAGUACCGCAGCUAACGCGUGAAGUUGACCGCCUGGGGAGUACGGUCGCAAGAUUAAAACUCAAAGGAAUUGACGGGGACCCGCACAAGCGGUGGAUUAUGUGGAUUAAUUCGAUGCAACGCGAAAAACCUUACCUACCCUUGACAUGCCAGGAACUUGCCAGAGAUGGCUUGGUGCCCGAAAGGGAACCUGGACACAGGUGC
rnacentral:rRNA from 1 species